AUUUAAGUAACAUAUUUAUGUAAUUAGUUUCGACCUAAUAAAUGAUUUUUAUUUAAUCCUUAAAUU
rnacentral:tRNA from 1 species